rnacentral:misc_RNA from 1 species
GAUGAAGAACGCAGCGAAAUGCGAUAAGUAAUGUGAACUGCAGAAUUCAGUGAAUCAUCGAAUCUUUGAACGCACAUUGCGCCCGCCAGUAUUCUGGCGGGCAUGCCUGUUCGAGCGUCAUUACAACCCUCAGGCCCCCGGGCCUGGCGUUGGGGAUCGGCGGAGCCCCCCGUGGGCACACGCCGUCCCCCAAAUGCAGUGGCGGUCCCGCCGCAGCUUCCAUCGCGUAGUAGCUAACACCUCGCGACUGGAGAGCGGCGCGGCCACGCCGUAAAACACCCAACUCUUCUGAAGUUGACCUCGAAUCAGGUAGGAAUACCCGCUGAACUUAAGCAUAUCAAUAAGCGGAGGA